UACUACUGUUUGUAGUAUUGUAUGGUUACAGGUACUUCACUUCGUAUACAGGAAAAAUACCUAUGUAUACGGCGGGUCUUUUAGCGAGCCCGGGGAAACGAGUAAUCCGGGGCGUGACAUAGUUCUAUUUCUAAAUACGAUGAAUUUAAAUUUUAAAUAUUAAAUAUUUAAAAUUUAAAAGUGAGAUUUAAAUUAGAGGAAUUUUGUUUUACUAUUUAAAAAAUUUGUAAUGUUGGUAAAUAUUUUAAUUCAACAUAUUUAAUAUGUUUAAGA
rnacentral:lncRNA from 1 species